CGACUGCAAGACGACGUGAAUGGGCUUGGGCCCGUUCCCUGAAUUGGCCAGGGCCCAGGAAAGUCCCCGGGUCAUUUCUGCAGAGAUGCAGGCCUGGAAACGGGUUAGCUUCACGGGCUUAGGAGUCCAAUCUUGCACUUGUGAGAUGGGCCGAGACGAGGUGGAGCCUAUGGACUCCUACCGGAAGCGUUAUUGGCCGAUGAUUACAGUUAUUCACGUGGUCCAGUCUAAACUGGACUAACUGAACGGGGCUUAUGUUCUUGCGGUC
rfam:Nicotiana attenuata strain TT chromosome 11, whole genome shotgun sequence.